rnacentral:rRNA from 1 species
UACGUAGGGGGCAAGCGUUGUCCGGAAUUAUUGGGCGUAAAGAGCGUGUAGGCGGUCCGGUAAGUCGGCUGUGAAAGUCCAGGGCUCAACCCUGGGAUGCCGGUCGAUACUGCCGGACUAGAGUUCGGAAGAGGCGAGUGGAAUUCCCGGUGUAGCGGUGAAAUGCGCAGAUAUCGGGAGGAACACCUAUGGCGAAGGCAGCUCGCUGGGACGUUACUGACGCUGAGACGCGAAAGCAUGGGUAGCAAACAGG